AUGGCGGAGGAUGCUGCUUCGGGUGCUCCGAGCCUCUGGGGCUGUGCUGACGGGAGCGAUGGUGGCAGAAAUGGAGGGAGAAGACCAGGAGCAGUUCGAGUGCCAGGAACUGCUCGAUUGCCAGGUGCACCUGGGGACCCCUGAGGAAAGGGAGGACGUGGCUGCCGGCUGGAUGCUCGAUUUCCUCUGCCUCUCUCUUUGCCGAGUCUUCCGUGACGGCCGCUCUGAGGACUUCCAAAGGACCCGCAACAGCGCGGAGGAUGCGCAGUUUGAAAGUGAUGAACGAAUUACCCUUCGAAUCAGCCCUGAUGAUUUGGGAUUCAGUUGAAACGGAACAUGACAAACUUCGUGAAGAAAUACAGAAUUUAAUUAAAAUACAGGCUAUAGGCGUUUGUAUGGAAAAUGUCAAUUUUAAGGAAGCAGAAGAAGUCUUUGAAAGAAUAUUUGAUGACCCAAAUUCUUACACGCCUUUACAGAGGAAAUUGCGUAUGAUAAUCUCUCGGAAAGAUACAUUCCAUUCCAUUUUUCAACACUUCAGCUUCAAUCACAUGAUGGAAAAAAUUAAGACUUACGUGAAUGACGUGCUAAAUGAAAAGUCAUCAACCUUUCUCAUGAAGUGUGAAUGACAAACAGUCUACAGUAACUGAAUCCUCAGGGGGUACAGUAUCCUUAUCGGGGUCUCACAAGAAUCUCUUCUUAUCUAAGUUGAAGUAUGGAAGCCAGCAACAAGACCUUAAUAAGAAAAAAGAAAGAGUAGGAACUCUUCAUUGUAAAAGAAAGAUAAGAGAGAGAAGAGCAACUGAAAGCAAGAUAUCACAUGUUUCAAAGAGUCAAGCAGUAACUCCUGAGAAACAUCAAUCUAGAAAAAAACAGGCAUGGCUUUGGAAAGAAGACAAGAAUUUUGAGAUCUGGGGUGAAGAAAUAUGGAAAGGGAAAGUGGUCUAAAAUACUAUUAUAAAUUCAAAAAUAGCACAGGCGUUAUGUUAAAAGACAGAUGGGGGACUAUGAAGAAACUAAAACUGAUUAGCUCGGACAGUGAAGACUGA